rnacentral:lncRNA from 1 species
UCUUUGAGCCUGAACUUCUGACGUGCAUUGUAGACGUGCCUCAUUGUGCUAACAUUUGUGUCAUCAUUUUGUUUCAAUGUAUAUAAUAUUUCCUUUGGUCUUACAUGAUUCUUUGACAUGUCUACUAAAAUUGAAGUCUCUUUCUCAGUUAAUCUCCCAGCAUAUGAAUGUCCUUCAAGGUUUUGGGCAAUGUCAUGAUUAUGUCU